UACGAAGGGUGCAAGCGUUACUCGGAAUUACUGGGCGUAAAGCGUGCGUAGGCGGUUUGUUAAGUCUGUCGUGAAAGCCCUGGGCUCAACCUGGGAAUUGCGAUGGAUACUGGCAAGCUAGAGUACGGUAGAGGAUGGUGGAAUUCCGGGUGUAGCGGUGGAAUGCGUAGAGAUCGGAAGAACACCGGUGGCGAAGGCGGCCUGCUGGGCAGUUUUGCUGACACUGAGGCGCGACAGCGUGGGGAGCAAACAGG
rnacentral:rRNA from 1 species